GUCAAACCUAACAUAUUUCAACACGCAACAAAAAAGAUAAUCAGCCACUAGAAGUGAAUUAAAAAUUGUUACACUUGGCCCUCUGUUAGCGAUAUUCGUGUUUCCAUUCCAAAAGCCAACAUCAGAAGACUUUUUCUAAAUCAUGUGAAGUGGUUUCCUUGGGAAAAAUGAGGAUUUUUUGUCUCGGGCUUUUGCUAUUUGCUGUUCAUAAAUCAGAUCAGGAUCCAUGCAUAGAAGGAAAUUUCAUAGAGCUCGAUCAUGUGGCUAAACGAUCGCCAUCUUUUGAUAUGGACUCUACUCCGCUCUGUGAUAGAUACAUAACAGAGGGAUGGUAUCGAGCCAAAUCUCACGUAAUGUCUACGUCACCACCAAUUCUAGGGAAAUGCGGUACACUUUAUCCCGUGUGGCUUCGAGACCCUAUUCCAUCCGAUGGAGUUUCACAAACACUGACAGCAUGUUCAGUAGGUUUCUCGAACAAUUGUGAAAUCCCAUACGACAUUGAAGUAAAAAACUGUACAGCUUUUCUAGUCUAUAAACUUAGAGCGCUGGAUUCAUGCAACUCUGCAUACUGUUUUGGUACGUAUUUAAAGAAAAUAUAUCAUACAGUUUUUGCGUAAUUCACAUUUCAU